rnacentral:rRNA from 1 species
AUAAGCGGAGGAAAAGAAACUAACAAGGAUUCCCCUAGUAACUGCGAGUGAAGCGGGAAAAGCUCAAAUUUAAAAUCUGGCGGUCUUUGGCCGUCCGAGUUGUAAUUUAGAGAAGUGUCUUCCGCGCCGGACCGUGCACAAGUCUCCUGGAAUGGAGCGUCAUAGAGGGUGAGAAUCCCGUCUUUGGCACGGAUGCCUGGUGCUCUGUGAUGCGCUCUCGAAGAGUCGAGUUGUUUGGGAAUGCAGCUCAAAAUGGGUGGUGAACUCCAUCUAAAGCUAAAUAUUGGCGAGAGACCGAUAGCGAACAAGUACCGUGAGGGAAAGAUGAAAAGCACUUUGGAAAGAGAGUGAAACAGUACGUGAAAUUGUUGAAAGGGAAACGCUUGAAGUCAGUCGCGUCGACCGAGACUCAGCCUUGCCUCGGCUUGGUGUACUUCUCGGCCCGACGGGUCAGCGUCAAUUUUGCCCCUCGGAUAAUGGCAAGGGAAAGGUGGCACCUUUACGGGUGUGUUAUAGUCUCCUGUCGCAUGCGAGGGGUGGGAUUGAGGAACUCAGCGCGCACCUUUGGUGUCGGGGCUUCGGCCCACGUCACGCGCUUAGGAUGCUGGCGUAAUGGCUUUAAACGACCCGUCUUGAA